rnacentral:rRNA from 1 species
AGCAGCCGCGGUAAUUCCAGCUCCAAUAGCGUAUAUUAAAGUUGUUGCAGUUAAAAAAGCUCGUAGUUGAAUUUCGAGAUCAAUUUGUCGGUCGUGCCUCGGUACGUACUGGCAUUAUUGAUUUCUCCCUUCUGAAGAACCGCGAUGUCAUUAAUUUGGUGUCGUGGGGAAUCAGGACUGUUACUUUGAAAAAAUUAGAGUGUUUAAAGCAGGCUCACGCUUGAAUACAUUAGCAUGGAAUAAUGAAAUAGGACGUUUGAUUCUAUUUUGUUGGUUUCUAGGAUCGACGUAAUGAUUAAUAGGGAUAGUUGGGGGCAUUAGUAUUCAAUUGUCAGAGGUGAAAUUCUUGGAUUUAUUGAAGACUAACUACUGCGAAAGCAUUUGCCAAGGAUGUUUUCAUUAAUCAAGAACGAAAGUUAGGGGAUCGAAGACGAUCAGAUACCGUCGUAGUCUUAACCAUAAACUAUGCCGACU